CGUAGGUGGCGAGCGUUGUCCGGAUUUACUGGGUGUAAAGGGAGUGCAGGCGGGACGGCAAGUCAGCUGCGAAAUACAUGGGCUUAACCCAUGGACUGCAGUUGAAACUGCCAUUCUUGAGUGAAGUAGAGGUAGGCGGAAUUCCGAGUGUAGCGGUGAAAUGCGUAGAUAUUCGGAGGAACACCAGUGGCGAAGGCGGCCUACUGGGCUUUAACUGACGCUGAGGCUCGAAAGUGUGGGGAGCAAACAGGAUUAGAUACCCU
rnacentral:rRNA from 1 species